CUCAGAGAGCCCUCUACAGGGAUGUCAUGCAGGAGAACUAUGAGAUGGUGGUCUUGCUGGGGUUUCCAGUUUCCAAACCUGAUGUGAUCUCGCAGCUGGAAUGAGGGGAACAGCCGUGGGUCUCAGACCUCUAUGGCUCUAGAAAAAAGUGCUCCCGAGAGCUGUCUGCACAGGCUGAAAGGCUGCUGGAAAUAUAUAAGAACCCUGGGACAUGAUCCUGCUUCAUCUCAGAUCUGCGUUCAGUUUCAAGAGAGGGAACUCUUAAGCCAUAAGGAUUGAGAUCCCGAGUCACUGACUGGAGUCACCCUGAAUAUGGACAUUGGACUGUAACCUCUGGACUAUUUCUAAAAGGACUUUUGGCAACUACAAGCUCAU